UACGGAGGGGGCUAGCGUUGUUCGGAAUUACUGGGCGUAAAGCGCGCGUAGGCGGAUCUGCAAGUCGGGUGUGAAAUCCCCGGGCUCAACCUGGGAACUGCAUCCGAGACUGCAUUGCUAGAGUAUGGGAGAGGGAAGCGGAAUUUCUGGUGUAGCAGUGAAAUGCGUAGAUAUCAGAAGGAACAUCAGUGGCGAAGGCGGCUUCCUGGACCAAUACUGACGAUCAGGUGCGAAAGCGUGGGGAGCAAACAGG
rnacentral:rRNA from 1 species